ACUAAAUAGAUACCCAGGUAGUCCACGCCCUAAACGAUGUCUACUAGUUGUCGGGUCUUAAUUGACUUGGUAAACGCAGCUAAACGCGUGAAGUAGACCGCCUGGGGAGUACGGUCGCAAGAUUAAAACUCAAAGGAAUUGACGGGGACCCGCACGAAGCGGUGGAUGAUGUGGAUUAAUUCGAUGCAACGCGAAAAACCUUACCUACCCUUGACAUGGAUGGAAUCCCUGAGAGAUUGGGGAGUGCUCGAAAGAGAACCAUUACACAGGUGCUGCAUGGCUGUCGUCAGCUCGUGUCGUGAGAUGUUGGGUUAAAGUCCCGCAACGAGCGCAACCCUUGUCAUUAGUUGCUACGAAAGGGCACUCUAAUGAGACUGCCGGUGACAAACCGGAGGAAGGUGGGGAAUGACGUCAAGUCCUCAUGGCCCUUAUGGGUAGGGCUUCACACGUCAUACAAUGGUACAUACAGAGGGCCGCCAACCCGCGAGGGGAGCUAAUCCCAGAAAGUGUAUCGUAGUCCGGAUUGUAGUCUGCAACUCG
rnacentral:rRNA from 1 species